GCGGGGGUUGCCCAGCCAGGUCAAAGGCGCAGGGCUUAGGACCCUGUCUCGUAGGAGUCCGUGGGUUCGAAUCCCACCCCCCGCA
rnacentral:tRNA from 1 species